GGAUGGACGCUGACAGGUGAGAGGAGCUACCUGUCCUCCUGUCCCUGAGAUGAGCUCUCUUCCUUUGUGAAAGUUGCUGUCUCCGUGACACAGAACACUUGAUAAAGGAGCACAAGGCAGCUUCUUUUAAACUUCCUUUGGUGCUGAUAUUAAAAAAAAAAAUUCUUUGUUCAUUUUGCUUCCUUGCUCAUGGCCAGAAGCUGCUUUUCCAAAAAAGAAAAAGAAAAAAAGAAAAAAUCUCAACUCACCAAUCAAAGUUGACAAAGGAUGGUUUUGGGAAUAAGAGGUGAGAGGUCAGGCAUUCUUAAUUUGUGUCUAGACUCCAGACAGUCUCCUCUGUAACCUUCUUAGGUCUCUCAGACUCAGUUUCCCCAUCUAAAAUGGUUCCCAUACUAUUUCCAUACCUCACGGGGAAGACUAUUCAUUGAAUUGGCUGUUAGGGGCACAGUCAAUAAAUUGAAUUUGGAGACAGCAGCUUGACCUGACUUUGAGAUUCUGUGUGUAUGUCAUUGAGACUUUCACCCUGAGGCUUGGUUCGCUCCCUCUCUGCAGCUACCAUCACGGUUUCAUCUCCUCCCUCCAGGAAUACCUAUGGAUGGUGUGUAACUGAUGGAGAGUCUCUAGGCCGUUACAAGGGAACAUCAUUAAUGCUGUUUAAGGUGCUAGAAUCAAACCUCAUUUUAUACACUUUGGUUCUUAGAGAAAAAAACAUGCAGAAUUCUCUCUGUGAGGCCUUAUAAUAGAUUGUUAUAGCUGGUUGUUUAUCCAAAAAUGGAGAGGGAACAGAAAACACAAAGAAGAUGCAGAGACUUUGCAUAAACCAUAACUAAAAGACCUUUGUUGUUUCCUAUAUUAAUGUAAACUACCAUAUAUGUAUACACAUGUGUGUGCAUAUAUGUCUAUAUAUGCUGAAGGCAUAUAGCAAGAGUGGAAAUGUGUAUAGUAUUCUAAACUCUAUUUUCAGUUUUCCCUUGGUUUGUGACGUUGGGUACAUGUGUGUGGAAGAGAGUCUGCUGAGGGAUGGAUGACAGGUGCUGAAUGUGAAACAGGAAAUCCUCCAUCUUCUUUUCUGUUCCAUACCUUAUAGAAGGCAGGCUGAAUGACAGGAGAGAGACAUAAAGAAAGAUGUGAAUAUGCUUUCUCAUGUUCUGCACAUGGAUAUUACAUUUGGCUGUUGUUCAUUCUCUAUUUGUAUUGAUGACUGCCUAAGGUGUUCACACAUAACAUUUACCUC
rnacentral:lncRNA from 1 species